rnacentral:misc_RNA from 1 species
GAACGCAUAUUGCGCUCUUUGGUAUUCCGAAGAGCAUGCUUGUUUGAGUAUCAGUAAACACUUCAAAACUCUUGAUCUUUUUCAAGCGUUUUGGACUUGAGCAAACCCAACGCCUUUUCUUUUAAGAUCUGUUGCGGCGGGUUACUUGAAAAGCAGGUGCAGCUGGACUUUUCUCUGAGCUAAAAGCAUAUCUAUUUAGUCUGCCUAAAAAACAGAUUAUUACCUUUGCUGCAGCUAACAUAAAGGAGAUUAGUUCUUGUGCUGACUGAUGCAGGAUUCAUAGAGACAGCUUCGGCUGGCCUUUGUAAACUCGAUCUCAAAUCAAGUAAGACUACCCGCUGAACUUAAG